rnacentral:rRNA from 1 species
GACGAACGCUGGCGGCGUGCCUAAUACAUGCAAGUCGAGCGGACUGAAUGGGAGCUUGCUCUUGUUCGGUCAGCGGCGGACGGGUGAGUAACACGUGGGCAACCUGCCCGCAAGACCGGGAUAACUCCGGGAAACCGGAGCUAAUACCGGAUAACACCGAAGACCGCAUGGUCUUUGGUUGAAAGGCGGCGCAAGCUGCCACUUGCGGAUGGGCCCGCGGCGCAUUAGCUAGUUGGUGAGGUAACGGCUCACCAAGGCGACGAUGCGUAGCCGGCCUGAGAGGGUGACCGGCCACACUGGGUCUGAGACACGGCCCAGACUCCUACGGGAGGCAGCAGUAGGGAAUCUUCCGCAAUGGGCGAAAGCCUGACGGAGCGACGCCGCGUGAGCGAAGAAGGCCUUCGGGUCGUAAAGCUCUGUUGUGAGGGACGAAGGAGCGCCGUUUGAAGAAGGCGGCGCGGUGACGGUACCUCACGAGGAAGCCCCGGCUAACUACGUG